rnacentral:rRNA from 1 species
UACAGAGGUCUCAAGCGUUGUUCGGAUUCAUUGGGCGUAAAGGGUGCGUAGGCGGCGCGGUAAGUCGGGUGUGAAAUCUCGGGGGCUUAACUCCGAAACUGCAUUCGAUACUGCCGUGCUUGAGGACUGGAGAGGAGACUGGAAUUUACGGUGUAGCGGUGAAAUGCGUAGAUAUCGUAAGGAAGACCAGUGGCGAAGGCGGGUCUCUGGACAGUUCCUGACGCUGAGGCACGAAGGCCAGGGGGAGCAAACGGGG